rnacentral:rRNA from 1 species
UACGAAGGGGGCGAGCGUUGUUCGGAAUUACUGGGCGUAAAGGGCGCGCAGGCGGCUCUGCAAGUCAGAUGUGAAAGCCCCGGGCUUAACCUGGGAAGUGCAUUUGAUACUCUGGAGCUUGAGUACGGGAGAGGAUAGUGGAAUUCCCAGUGUAGAGGUGAAAUUCGUAGAUAUUGGGAAGAACACCGGUGGCGAAGGCGGCUAUCUGGACCGUAACUGACGCUGAGGCGCGAAAGCGUGGGGAGCAAACAGG